rnacentral:rRNA from 1 species
AGUGAACGCUGGCGGCGUGCCUAAUACAUGCAAGUCGAACGGAGAUUAAGUAGCUUGCUAUUUAAUCUUAGUGGCGCACGGGUGAGUAAUAUAUAGCUAACUUGCCCAUUACUAAGGGACAACAGUUGGAAACGACUGCUAAUACCUUAUACUCCGUAUCUAUAUAAGUAGAUACGGGAAAGUUUUUCGGUAAUGGAUAGGGCUAUAUCGUAUCAGCUAGUUGGUAAGGUAAUGGCUUACCAAGGCUAUGACGCGUAACUGGUCUGAGAGGAUGAUCAGUCACACUGGAACUGAGACACGGUCCAGACUACUACGGGAGGCAGCAGUAGGGAAUAUUGCUCAAUGGGGGAAACCCUGAAGCAGCAACGACGCGUGGAGGAUGACACUUUUCGGAGCGUAAACUCCUUUUCUUGGGAAAGAAUUAGGACGGUACCCAAGGAAUAAACACCGGCUAACUCCGU